AGAGCUCUGCAGAAGUAGGCUUCCAUACAUAUUUCAAAUGAAGAGACAUCAUUUUCUGUGUAUCGGGAUGUCUGUUCAUUUGAAAUAUGUGUGGAAGCCUGCUUCUGCAGAGCUCU